rnacentral:rRNA from 1 species
AUGGUGCGUUUUGAGCUGGGCACUCACCCACCAAAAACAAUGGACGCAAGCCAUAAUCCCUUGCUUGCACUUGGAGUACUCAUCAUCCCGUUGGCCUACUUCAUCCUUGCGGCGCGCCUUCGAGCCGGCCCCAGGCCGCCGCCGGGGCCAUGGGCGCUCCCGUUGAUCGGCCACUUGCACCACAUGAUGGGCAAGCUUCCGCACCAUAGGAUGCGCGACCUUGCCCGGCGGCAUGGCCCGCUGAUGCUACUCCGCCUCGGUGACCUGCCCAUCGUGGUUGCUUCGUCGGCAGAGGCAGCCCGCGAGGGGCUCAUCUUUGCGCCCUACGGCAACGCCUGGAGGCAGCUGCGCAAAAUUUGCACCGUGGAGCUGCUUAGCGCCCGAUGCGUGCAGUCUUCGAGAAGCAUCCGAGAGCAGGAGGUCCAGCGCCUCCUCCAGGAGGUGUUGACGGCAACGGCAACACCCGGGGCGGCGGUGAACCUUAGCGCACUACUGUCAUCGUAUGUCAAUGACUCGACAGUGCGCGCCAUUAUAGGCAGCCGGUUCAAGGACCGGGAGACGUUCCUUCGGCUAAUGGGGGAAAGUAUGGAGCUAUUCUCGAGGCCCGGCUUGCCGGACCUCUAUCCAUCGUCACGCUUAGCGAUGCUCAUCAGCCGAAAACCACGCCUGAUGAAGCACCACCACCAUGAAAUGAUGGGUUUCAUGGAAACCAUCAUCCAGGAGCACCAAGUGCCACAAGGAGCCGCAGGUGACAAAGAGGAGGACUUGGUUGACGUGCUCUUGAGAAUCCAGAAAGAAGAUAACUCCUUGGAGUUCCCGCUCACCACACACACGAUCAAAGCCGUGAUGGCGGAUUUAUUUGUCGCAGGUAGUGAGACCUCAGCAACGAUGCUACAAUGGGCCAUGUCCGAGCUCAUGAAGAACCCGAGGGUGAUGCAAAAGGUGCAGGGAGAAGUUCGGCGAGUGCUCAAUGAGCAAGGCAAAGUGAUGGAGGAGAGCUUAAGGAAUAUACACUACUUACACCUAGUCAUCAAGGAGACUCUUCGGUUGCACCCGGCGCUGCCACUGCUACUACCACGGGAAUGCCGCUCGCCAUGCCAGGUACUCGGGUUCGACGUGCCAGUGGGGGCUACAGUUCUUGUGAACGCUUGGGCCAUCGGUAGGGAUCCGAUGCAUUGGGACAAGCCAGAGGAGUUCAUGCCAGAGAGGUUUGAAUUCAACACCGUUGACUUCAAGGGGGGAGACUUUGAGUACACACCAUUUGGGGCGGGACGAAGGAUGUGCCCCGGGAUGACGUUUGGGCUGGCCAAUAUGGAACUUGCGCUUGCUAGUAUCUUGUACCACUUUGAUUGGGAGCUGCCACACGGGAUGGCGGCGGUGGACCUAGAUAUGGCAGAGGUCGUCACAGUAACCUCACGACGGAAACAUGACCUUCUGGUGGUUCCCGUGGUUCGCACGCCGAUAUAA